rnacentral:rRNA from 1 species
AAUCAACGCUGGCGGCGUGCCUCAGACAUGCAAGUCGAACGAUUAAACUUUCCUUCGGGAAGAUAUAAAGUGGCGCACGGGUGAGUAACACGUAAGUAAUCUACCUUCGAGUGGGGAAUAACGUCGGGAACCGACGCUAAUACCGCAUAAUGCAGCGGCACCUAAUGGUGACAGUUGUUAAAGGAGCAAUUCGCUUGAAGAGGGAGCUUGCGGCAGAUUAGCUAGUUGGAAGGUAACGGCUUACCAAGGCUACGAUCUGUAACCGGUCUAAGAGGACGGUCGGUCACACUGACACUGAAUAACGGGUCAGACUCCUACGGGAGGCAGCAGUCGGGAAUUUUUGGGCAAUGGGCGAAAGCCUGACCCAGCAACGCCGCGUGAAGGA